rnacentral:tRNA from 2 species
UGAUAAAGUAUUUAUAUACAUUUAAUUUCCAAUUAAAUAAAGAAAUUAUUUUUU